rnacentral:rRNA from 1 species
AUACGGAGGGUGCAAGCGUUAUUCGGAAUCACUGGGCGUAAAGGACGCGUAGGCGGGUUGGCAAGUCAGAUGUGAAAUCCUACAGCUUAACUGUAGAACUGCAUUUGAAACUGCUAACCUAGAGUAUGGGAGGGGGAGGUGGAAUUAGUGGUGUAGGGGUAAAAUCCGUAGAUAUCACUAGGAAUACCGAAAGCGAAGGCGAUCUCCUGGAACAUAACUGACGCUAAGGCGUGAAAGCGUGGGGAGCAAACAGGAUUAGAUACCCUAGUAGUCC